UACGUAGGGGGCGAGCGUUGUCCGGAUUUAUUGGGCGUAAAGAGCGUGUAGGCGGCCAGGUAGGUCUGCUGUGAAAACUCGAGGCUCAACCUCGAGACGUCGGCGGAAACCAUCUGGCUAGAGUCCGGAAGAGGAGAGUGGAAUUCCCAGUGUAGCGGUGAAAUGCGUAGAUAUUGGGAGGAACACCAGUGGCGAAGGCGGCUCACUGGACCGGUACUGACGCUGAUGCGCGAAAGCGUGGGGAGCGAACAGG
rnacentral:rRNA from 1 species